UCAUUUCUGGGGAUGAAACUGGUCUCUCAUUAAAUAGGCAUGUCGUUUACCAGAGUGACACAAGCAAAAAUAGUAGCCUUCAGGUCGGUCUGAGACAUAUUUUUGAGGCCAUGGAAAGGUUUACUGCCAAAUCCUUGAAGGUGUAUGAGGAACUUCUACAACGCAUUGAAGAGGAUGAUCUGGCUUAAAGAGCAUGAGAAAUUGGUAUAGCACUACCUUGAGAAGGUUAUGUCUUCUGGGUGCCUGUUAUUAUGGUACUGUUGGAAGUUAUUGAACAGAGGACAAUGUGAAAUGGAGCAACAGAAACCUUGUUGUCUUUCUCUGCUCUUGCUGUAGCAUCAUCAUAGCUUGAUCAGUUUUAGUUUGGAAGCAGGGUUUAUGGCAGAGGUAAUUCCUGAAAUAAGGGGAUUAAAUACCCUAGGAUAGGCACCAAUCCUCAAGUAACUAAUGUGCUUACCAGAGGGGACCUGAGCUAGUGGAGAUGUAUAUAUAUUAUGAAAUGCUAUGACUACCUUGGCGCUAAAUGGGAGUAUUUAUGGUUGGAGACAUUAUGACAUGCUACGACUACCUUGGCGCUAAGUGGCAUG
rnacentral:lncRNA from 1 species